AAUUCAGCUCAAAAGAAUCAGAAGAAUAAUGAAGCUGAGGACGGUGGUCGGCGCGUGCUGAUCCACCUACAUCACCACGCACGAUUUCGGCGCAACUAUCAGUCUAUUCAAUUAUUGUUUCAUCCACCGCUCGAGAUUUUUAUUCAACUUGUCCCUAACUAUAAUUAUUGUAUUCUUCAGUAACCCUUUAAGAAGGGUAAAGUGAAGGGCUUGACAAUUAUGAACAUUUG
rnacentral:misc_RNA from 1 species